UGCCAGACUCCUACGGGAGGCAGCAGUGGGGAAUAUUGCACAAUGGGGGAAACCCUGAUGCAGCGACGCCGCGUGAGCGAUGAAGUAUUUCGGUAUGUAAAGCUCUAUCAGCAGGGAAGAAAAUGACGGUACCUGACUAAGAAGCCCCGGCUAACUACGUGCCAGCAGCCGCGGUAAUACGUAGGGGGCAAGCGUUAUCCGGAUUUACUGGGUGUAAAGGGAGCGUAGACGGUCCUGCAAGCCAGAUGUGAAAGCCCGGGGCUCAACCCCGGGACUGCAUUUGGAACUGUGUGGCUGGAGUGUCGGAGAGGCAGGCGGAAUUCCUAGUGUAGCGGUGAAAUGCGUAGAUAUUAGGAGGAACACCAGUGGCGAAGGCGGCCUGCUGGACGAUGACUGACGUUGAGGCUCGAAAGCGUGGGGAGCAAACAGGAUUAGAUACCCCAGUAAA
rnacentral:rRNA from 1 species